GUGGGGAAUAUUGGGCAAUGGGCGAAAGCCUGACCCAGCAACGCCGCGUGAAGGAAGAAGGUCUUCGGAUCGUAAACUUCUAUCCUUGGUGAAGAUAAUGACGGUAGCCGAGAAGGAAGCCCCGGCUAACUACGUGCCAGCAGCCGCGGUAAUACGUAGGGGGCAAGCGUUGUCCGGAAUGAUUGGGCGUAAAGGGCGCGUAGGCGGCCUGGUAAGUCUGGAGUGAAAGUCCUGCUUUUAAGGUGGGAAUUGCUUUGGAUACUGUCGGGCUUGAGUGCAGGAGAGGUAAGUGGAAUUCCCGGUGUAGCGGUGAAAUGCGUAGAGAUCGGGAGGAACACCAGUGGCGAAGGCGACUUACUGGACUGUAACUGACGCUGAGGCGCGAAAGUGUGGGGAGCAAACAGGAUUAGAAACCCCGGUAGUCC
rnacentral:rRNA from 1 species